GAUGAACGCUGGCGGCGUGCCUAAUACAUGCAAGUCGAGCGAACAGACGAGGAGCUUGCUCCACUGACGUUAGCGGCGGACGGGUGAGUAACACGUGGAUAACCUACCUAUAAGACUUGGAUAACUUCGGGAAACCGGAGCUAAUACCGGAUAAUAUAUUGAACCGCAUGGUUCAAUAGUGAAAGACGGUUUUGCUGUCACUUAUAGAUGGAUCCGCGCCGCAUUAGCUAGUUGGUAAGGUAACGGCUUACCAAGGCAACGAUGCGUAGCCGACCUGAGAGGGUGAUCGGCCACACUGGAACUGAGACACGGUCCAGACUCCUACGGGAGGCAGCAGUAGGGAAUCUUCCGCAAUGGGCGAAAGCUUGCCGGAGCAACGCCGCGUGAGUGCUGAAGGUCUUCGGAUCGUAAAACUCUGUUAUUAGGGAAGAACAAAUGUGUAAGUAACUAUGCACGUCUUGACGGUACCUAAUCAGAAAGCCACGGCUAACUACGUG
rnacentral:rRNA from 1 species